UACGAAGGGUGCAAGCGUUACUCGGAAUUACUGGGCGUAAAGCGUGCGUAGGUGGUGAGUUAAGUCUGAUGUGAAAUCCCCGGGCUCAACCUGGGAAUGGCAUUGGAUACUGGCUCGCUAGAGUGCGGUAGAGGGUGGUGGAAUUCCCGGUGUAGCAGUGAAAUGCGUAGAGAUCGGGAGGAACAUCUGUGGCGAAGGCGGCCACCUGGACCAACACUGACACUCAUGCACGAAAGCGUGGGGAGCAAACAGG
rnacentral:rRNA from 1 species